UUUUUUUUCAUGUCCACGAAAGUUGUAAGUUUUAAUUCAAAUGGAGAUGCUCAUUGACUGGUCAACAUAAAAUCAGCUAUAAAGAUAUAAUGUCAGAGCGCUGAUAUAGCAAACUGGUUUGUAUCCCCUAGAGGUUAAAGAAAUAGUCUCCCCUGUUAAAGAUCAACCAUGGCGUAUAUACAUUGCCGGAUGUCAUCUGGUCAUCAACAGAGAGUUUUGAUGCUAUAUUUCUACCAGUUACCUCUGUGACCUUUGUUAUGUUUAGCAGACAGGUGUGCAUGAUGCAAGUUCUUGGAUUGUGUGUAGUCUAUGAAAUUCACAUUUAUUCUAGGG